AAGCAUUAUGAGGGCAUUUCCUAAGUAUUUUCUUAAACUCUCCCAACUUUCAUAAAUUUACUCUCCUUAAAAUUGCUCAAAAGAUGUGAUAUCAUUCCUAAGCUU